rnacentral:rRNA from 1 species
GCGAAGAACUUUNCCNGGGUCUUGACAUCCCUCUGACCGGCUUAGAGAUAAGCCUUUCCUUCGGGACAGAGGUGACAGGUGGUGCAUGGUUGUCGUCAGCUCGUGUCGUGAGAUGUUGGGUUAAGUCCCGCAACGAGCGCAAACCCUUGAACUUAGUUGCCAGCAGGUUGAGCUGGGCACUCUAAGUUGACUGCCGGUGACAAACCGGAGGAAGGCGGGGAUGACGUCAAAUCAUCAUGCCCCUUAUGACCUGGGCUACACACGUACUACAAUGGCCGGUACAACGGGAAGCGAAGGAGCGAUCCGGAGCCAAUCCUAGAAAAGCCGGUCUCAGUUCGGAUUGCAGGCUGCAACUCGCCUGCAUGAAGUCGGAAUUGCUAGUAAUCGCGGAUCAGCAUGCCGCGGUGAAUACGUUCCCGGG